rnacentral:rRNA from 1 species
AUUGAACGCUGGCGGAAUGCUUUACACAUGCAAGUCGAGCGGCAGCACGGGAGCAAUCCUGGUGGCGAGCGGCGAACGGGUGAGUAAUACAUCGGAACGUACCCUAUUGUGGGGGAUAGCCCGGCGAAAGCCGGAUUAAUACCGCAUGAGACCUGAGGGUGAAAGCGGGGGAUUCGCAAGAACCUCGCGCAAUUGGAGCGGCCGAUGUCGGAUUAGCUAGUUGGUGAGGUAAAGGCUCACCAAGGCGACGAUCCGUAGCGGGUCUGAGAGGACGGCCCGCCACACUGGAACUGAGACACGGUCCAGACUCCUACGGGAGGCAGCAGUGGGGAAUUUUGGACAAUGGGGGCAACCCUGAUCCAGCCAUUCCGCGUGAGUGAAGAAGGCCUUCGGGUUGUAAAGCUCUUUCGGCAGGAGCGAAACGGUGUAGGCUAAUAUCCUGCAUUAAUGACGGUACCUGCAGAAGAAGCACCGGCUAACUACGUGCCAGCAGCCGCGGUAAUACGUAGGGUGCAAGCGUUAAUCGGAAUUACUGGGCGUAAAGCGUGCGCAGGCGGUUUUGUAAGACAGAUGUGAAAUCCCCGGGCUUAACCUGGGAACUGCGUUUGUGACUGCAAGACUCGAGUGUGGCAGAGGGGGGUGGAAUUCCACGUGUAGCAGUGAAAUGCGUAGAGAUGUGGAGGAACACCGAUGGCGAAGGCAGCCCCCUGGGUUAACACUGACGCUCAUGCACGAAAGCGUGGGUAGCAAACAGGAUUAGAUACCCUGGUAGUCCACGCCCUAAACGAUGCGAACUAGGUGUUGGAGAAGGAGACUUCUUUAGUACCGAAGCUAACGCGUGAAGUUCGCCGCCUGGGGAGUACGGUCGCAAGAUUAAAACUCAAAGGAAUUGACGGGGACCCGCACAAGCGGUGGAUGAUGUGGAUUAAUUCGAUGCAACGCGAAAAACCUUACCUACCCUUGACAUGCCAGGAAUCUCUCAGAGAUGUGAGAGUGCCGCAAGGAACCUGGACACAGGUGCUGCAUGGCUGUCGUCAGCUCGUGUCGUGAGAUGUUGGGUUAAGUCCCGCAACGAGCGCAACCCUUAUCAUUAGUUGCCAUCAUUUAGUUGGGCACUCUAAUGAGACUGCCGGUGACAAACCGGAGGAAGGUGGGGAUGACGUCAAGUCAUCAUGGCCCUUAUGGGUAGGGCUUCACACGUCAUACAAUGGCCGGUACAGAGGGUUGCCAACCCGCGAGGGGGAGCCAAUCCCAGAAAGCCGGUCGUAGUCCGGAUCGGAGUCUGCAACUCGACUCCGUGAAGUCGGAAUCGCUAGUAAUCGUGGAUCAGCAUGUCACGGUGAAUACGUUCCCGGGUCUUGUACACACCGCCCGUCACACCAUGGGAGUGGGUUUCACCAGAAGUAGGUAGCUUAACCGCAAGGGGAGCGCUUACCACGGUGGGAUUCAUGACUAGGGUG